AGUUCACCUCAACCAGCCCGCGGUGGAGGAGGGACGCUCUCUGCUCGCUCCUCACGAACCUUCCCUCGCGUGCGUGUGGUAAAAGAUUGAUGACCGCGUGGAGAAUUGCAAUUGACGAAAGAUAAGCAACGUUAAUAGAUAAAGCAGGUGUGU